GCGGACGUGGCGGAAUUGGUAUACGCGCAGCCUUGAGGAGGCUGUGCCGCAAGGCAUGGAGGUUCAACUCCUCUCGUCCGCACCA
rnacentral:tRNA from 1 species